CCUACGGGAGGCAGCAGUGGGGAAUAUUGCACAAUGGGGGAAACCCUGAUGCAGCGACGCCGCGUGAGUGAAGAAGUAAUUCGUUAUGUAAAGCUCUAUCAGCAGGGAAGAAAAUGACGGUACCUGAGUAAGAAGCCCCGGCUAACUACGUGCCAGCAGCCGCGGUAAUACGUAGGGGGCAAGCGUUAUCCGGAUUUACUGGGUGUAAAGGGAGUGUAGGCGGGAAAGCAAGUCAGAAGUGAAAACUAUGGGCUUAACCCAUAGCCUGCUUUUGAAACUGUUUUUCUUGAGUGAAGUAGAGGCAAGCGGAAUUCCUAGUGUAGCGGUGAAAUGCGUAGAUAUUAGGAGGAACACCAGUGGCGAAGGCGGCUUGCUGGGCUUUUACUGACGCUGAGGCUCGAAAGCGUGGGGAGCAAACAGGAUUAGAUACCCCUGUAGUC
rnacentral:rRNA from 1 species